rnacentral:rRNA from 1 species
AAAAGUCUCUAUCGAGGUUAAAGGUACCCGUACCGCAAACCGACACAGGUGGGUGAGGAGAGUAUCCUAAGGCCAGCGAGAGAACUGUUGUUAAGGAACUCGGCAAAAUGACCCCGUAACUUAGGGAUAAGGGGUGCCACCAUCAGGUGGCCGCAGAGAAUAGGCCCAAGCGACUGUUUACCAAAAACAUAGGUUUCUGCUAAGUCGCAAGACGAUGUAUAGGAGCUGACGCCUGCCCGGUGCUGGAAGGUUAAGGGGAGCUGUUAGAGCAAUCGAAGCAGGGAACUUAAGCCCCAGUAAACGGCGGCCGUAACUAUAACGGUCCUAAGGUAGCGAAAUUCCUUGUCGGGUAAGUGCCGACCCGCACGAAAGGCGUAACGAUUUGGGCACUGUGUCAACAACAGACUCGGUGAAAUUGUAAUUCCGGUGAAGAUGCCGGAUACCUGCGACAGGACGGAAAGACCCCAUGGAGCUUUACUGUAGCUUGACAUUGGGUCUUGGUACUACAUGUACAGGAUAGGUGGGAGGCUUUGAAACCAGGACGCCAGUUUUGGCGGAGCCAUCCUUGGGAUACCACCCUUGUAGUACUGGGACUCUAACCAUAGGCCAUGAAUCUGGUCUUGGGACACUGUCAGGUGGGCAGUUUGACUGGGGCGGUCGCCUCCCAAAAGG